rnacentral:misc_RNA from 1 species
GAUGAAGAACGUAGCGAAAUGCGAUAACUAAUGUGAAUUGCAGAAUUCCGUGAAUCAUCGAGUCUUUGAACGCACAUUGCGCCCCCUGGUAUUCCGGGGGGCAUGCCUGUCCGAGCGUCAUUGCUGCCCAUCAAGCACGGCUUGUGUGUUGGGUCCCGUCCCCCUCUCGCGGGGGACGGACCCGAAAGGCAGCGGCGGCACCGCGUCCGGUCCUCGAGCGUAUGGGGCUUUGUCACCCGCUCUUGUAGGCCCGGCCGGCGCUUGCCGACACCCAACCAUUUUUUUCAGGUUGACCUCGGAUCAGGUAGGGAUACCCGCUGAACUUAAGCAUAUCAAUAAGCGGAGGA